CCAUUUUAGCUCUCAAUUCUGUUGCUUUGCAAGUCAUUACCAACUUUUCAAGGGCUAUAUUUUUUAAGCGACUUACUACUUGUUUAUAAGUGUGAUCAUAUAGGGGUUGGAUGCACUUGGAUUAGCGACCUUGGACUCACUUACAGCAAACCUACCCUUCAGGCCAAGUUCGACCUCCAUGACUGAUGAAGAUAUCAACAAUCUGCGAACACUGAGACGCCUUAUGCUAUUAAUUUCUGAGCUUCAACGAACUGAAACUUCUGCAGUGGUUUGUUACAAACACUCCCUUUGCUUCCCCAUUCCAAAGGAUACUAGUUGUUGCUUAACUAUGAUGAUGAAAAAUAAGUAAGUAGUAAUAAAUUUUAUGAUUCGUUGAUUUCUCGUGGCAGGGAGACAAUGGAGUUGGCUCGUAUGACUCCUCAGAUGGAGCCGCGCUGCUCCCUUAUGGAUUGAGAUCUUCUCAGGAAAUGCUGCCACUUCUUCUCUCUGCAAUUUCCGAGGUAGGAAUCAUGGAUCAAACAUAUUCUCAACUGGCUUUUAGCUAGGGACCUAUGGCAUCUUGCCCUUUCAUACUUUAUUCAUACACAACGGAUGAUGCUUUUUAACAGUAUUCAUCUAUCGUAGAUACAUUAGUGUUAUCAAGUUGAUGAGCCACUUUUGUACAACCCCUUUAACUUUUCAGUCCAAAGGUUACAAACUUGUAAGUGCCUACAUAUCUGGUGGCUAACUAGUCUCUCCAUUGCUGUGGGACGUUCAAACGGGCAUUCCUACUAAAUUGAUUUGUCAAAGCUGUGAGGAUUUUUUCGUGUUUUCACAUCAGCCUUACGAUUUUGUUUCGGAUUUUGCUCCGACCAUCGGAUGAUCAGAUGGAGAGCAGCACCCAACUCAACUGCAAAACUUACAAUAGCAAAGCUGCAGAGGUAGAAAAUAUGGCUCACUAUUUAUUCCGUGGAAUUGGCCGUCUUGUUAUUCACUCAAAUCUCUUUGUUUCAAUCUGUAUAAGUGAUUUUUGGUGGAAGAUUAUAUAUUCGGUGUUCAAACUAGUUACUGUAGAAAGAUUAUACCAUGCUAAUCUUCAAUCUUUAACUAGGAAAAGUGGAAAAGACGAAGCAUUAUUGAUUCAUUUCGACAUUACAAACUUCUGAAGUAACUCACUCAGUAGUAUCUGUGGUUUGAAUAAGUGUGUUCAGUUAGCAUGCAAUAAUAGGAAUUUGACUUAUGAGCUAAACUAGUACAGUACAUAUAUUGAUAUUUUUAUUAUUUUUUAUUUAAAGAACUAUGGAGAAANGAUGUCCGCGUUAACAAAGAAGGCUAGAGACACUUUAGAAGACCAGUAACCUGAUUAAUAGUCAAAGAAAUCGAAGUCCACAGAAUAGGAAAGGUUUUUAAUAUUUGCCAAUGCCAACCCUUCCUUAUGAGUUUAAAUCUGCAUGUGCAUAUGCCGACUUUUUCACUGAAGCUGUUUGUGUGGGUGAGGUAAAAUUAAUCAUUUGAGCAAACUAUGAAAAGUUCUUAUGUUAAGAUGCAAUAUCUGCUUACCAUUUUAGCUCUCAAUUCUGUUGCUUUGCAAGUCAUUACCAACUUUUCAAGGGCUAUAUUUUUUAAGCGACUUACUACUUGUUUAUAAGUGUGAUCAUAUAGGGGUUGGAUGCACUUGGAUUAGCGACCUUGGACUCACUUACAGCAAACCUACCCUUCAGGCCAAGUUCGACCUCCAUGACUGAUGAAGAUAUCAACAAUCUGCGAACACUGAGACGCCUUAUGCUAUUAAUUUCUGAGCUUCAACGAACUGAAACUUCUGCAGUGGUUUGUUACAAACACUCCCUUUGCUUCCCC
rnacentral:lncRNA from 1 species